rnacentral:rRNA from 1 species
CAGCCGCCGCGGUAAUACGUAGGGGGCGAGCGUUGUCCGGAAUUAUUGGGCGUAAAGCGCGCGCAGGCGGUCCCUUAAGUCUGAUGUGAAAGCCCACGGCUCAACCGUGGAGGGUCAUUGGAAACUGGGGGACUUGAGUGCAGAAGAGGAGAGCGGAAUUCCACGUGUAGCGGUGAAAUGCGUAGAGAUGUGGAGGAACACCAGUGGCGAAGGCGGCUCUCUGGUCUGUAACUGACGCUGAGGCGCGAAAGCGUGGGGAGCAAACAGGAUUAGAUACCCUGGUAGUCCACGCCGUAAACGAUGAGUGCUAAGUGUUAGAGGGGUUUGCCCUUUAGUGCUGUAGCUAACGCGUUAAGCACUCCGCCUGGGGAGUACGGCCGCAAGGCUGAAACUUAAAGGAAUUGGCGGG